UACGUAGGGGGCUAGCGUUGUCCGGAUUAUUGGGCGUAAAGAGCGUGUAGGCGGCCAGGUAGGUCUGCUGUGAAAACUCGAGGCUCAACCUCGAGACGUCGGCGGAAACCAUCUGGCUAGAGUCCGGAAGAGGAGAGUGGAAUUCCUGGUGUAGCGGUGAAAUGCGCAGAUAUCAGGAAGAACACCCGUGGCGAAGGCGGCUCUCUGGGCCUGUACUGACGCUGAGGAACGAAAGCGUGGGGAGCGAACAGG
rnacentral:rRNA from 1 species